rnacentral:rRNA from 1 species
AAAAGGAGCAAUCCGCUUUGAGAUGGCCUCGCGUCCGAUUAGCUAGUUGGUGAGGUAAUGGCCCACCAAGGCGACGAUCGGUAGCCGGACUGAGAGGUUGAACGGCCACAUUGGGACUGAGACACGGCCCAGACUCCUACGGGAGGCAGCAGUGGGGAAUAUUGCACAAUGGGGGAAACCCUGAUGCAGCGACGCCGCGUGGAGGAAGAAGGUCUUCGGAUUGUAAACUCCUGUUGUUGAGGAAGAAAGACGGUACUCAACAAGGAAGUGACGGCUAACUACGUGCCAGCAGCCGCGGUAAAACGUAGGUCACAAGCGUUGUCCGGAAUUACUGGGUGUAAAGGGAGCGCAGGCGGGAGGCAAGUUGGAAGUGAAAUCUAUGGGCUCAACCCAUAAACUGCUUUCAAAACUUUUUUCUUGAGU